rnacentral:rRNA from 1 species
GUCUUUUUGUUUAAAUAUAAAGUCUAGCCUGCCCAUUGAUUAAAUUAAAUGGCCGCGGUAUUUUGACCGUGCUAAGGUAGCAUAAUCAUUAGUUUUUUAAUUAAAAACUGGAAUGAAGGGUUGGAUGAAAAAAUAGCUGUCUCUAUUAAAAUAUAAUAAAAUUUUAUUUUUAAGUUAAAAAGCUUAAAUUUUAUUAAAAGACGAGAAGACCCUAUAGAGUUUAAUAAUUAGUUAUAUUUAUUUUUUUAGAAUUUAUUUUAUAAUAAAAAUUAGUUAUUUAAUUGGGGUGAUUAAAAAAUUUAAUAAACUUUUUUUGUAUAAUUAUAUUGAUUUAUAAAUUAUUGAUCCAAUAUUUUUGAUUAAAAGAUAAAAUUACCUUAGGGAUAACAGCGUAAUUUUAUUAGAGAGUUCUUAUCAAUAAUAAAGAUUGCGACCUCGAUGUUGGAUUAAAAUUUAUAAUUGGUGUAGAAGCUAAAUUAUUAAGUCUGUUCGACUUUUAAAAUUUUACA